GAUGAACGCUGGCGGCGUGCCUAAUACAUGCAAGUCGAGCGAACGGACGAGAAGCUUGCUUCUCUGAUGUUAGCGGCGGACGGGUGAGUAACACGUGGAUAACCUACCUAUAAGACUGGGAUAACUUCGGGAAGCCGUAGCUAAUACCGGAUAAUAUUUUGAACCGCAUGGUUCAAAAGUGAAAGACGGUCUUGCUGUCACUUAUAGAUGGAUCCGCGCUGCAUUAGCUAGUUGGUAAGGUAACGGCUUACCAAGGCAACGAUGCAUAGCCGACCUGAGAGGGUGAUCGGCCACACUGGAACUGAGACACGGUCCAGACUCCUACGGGAGGCAGCAGUAGGGAAUCUUCUGCAAUGGGCGAAAGCCUGACGGAGCAACGCCGCGUGAGUGAUGAAGGUCUUCGGAUCGUAAAACUCUGUUAUUAGGUAAGAACAUAUGUGUAAGUAACUGUGCACAUCUUGACGGUACCUAAUCAGAAAGCCACGGCUAACUACGUG
rnacentral:rRNA from 1 species